rnacentral:rRNA from 1 species
UACGUAGGGUGCGAGCGUUGUCCGGAAUUACUGGGCGUAAAGAGCUUGUAGGUGGUUUGUCGCGUUGUCCGUGAAAACUCACAACUCAAUUGUGGGCGUGCGGGCGAUACGGGCAGACUUGAGUACUGCAGGGGAGACUGGAAUUCCUGGUGUAGCGGUGGAAUGCGCAGAUAUCAGGAGGAACACCGGUGGCGAAGGCGGGUCUCUGGGCAGUAACUGACGCUGAGAAGCGAAAGCGUGGGGAGCGAAC